rnacentral:rRNA from 1 species
UCCCUUAGUAACGGCGAGUGAAGCGGGAAUAGCUCAGGCUGAAAAUCAAGUGUUCCCUUUGGAAUGUCUUGACGUGUGGUCUGACGAGGCAUGCUCGGUAACAGUGUAAACUCAAGUCCUCUGGAAAGGGGCACCAUGGAGGGUGACAGUCCCGUUCGCAGUUUACAUAGUUGCGUUGCCAUGAGAGCUGUCUUCAGAGAGUCGGGUUGCUUGGGAGUGCAGCCCAAAUGGGGUGGUAUACGCCAUCCAAGGCUAAAUAUCAGCGAGAGACCGAUAGCGAACAAGUACUGUGAAGGAAAGUUGAAAAGCACUCUGGAGAGAGAGUCAAACGAGCACGUGAAAUUGCUGGCAGGGAAGCGCUGGGCGUCAGUGCGCAUGCUCCUAAGGGAACAGGUUAAGGGUGGUGGUCUGUAGCUAUGUACAAUGUACAUGGUCAUGGUGCUGCUACCCUCAGCUGCAAGCCCUUGAGUGUGGGUCAGCAUCGGUUACGGAGUGUCAUAAAACGGCUUUGGUUAUGGUAUUUCGGUACCGUAACCUCAGUGCAGCAUGAUACCUUUGACCGUGGAAUGGCAGGGCGGCCGCAAGGCAGAUUGCGUGGCCCAUGGCUCCCAAGUCAUCAUCGGGUAACUGCUUGCAGGUACUCAGUGAGAGGCUUGUUACUCAUGGCCACCAUCAGCGCCCUACAGAUGCUGGCGAAAUGGCGUCCAUCGACCCGUCUUGAAACACGGACCAAGGAGUCUAGCAUACGCGCGAGUGUUUGGGUGACAAGCCCCGACGCGCAACGAAAGUGACACUUUGCCCCAACCGCAAGGAGCAGGGCAGGCCAGUCCAAGCGCCAUUAGGCAACGGGCUGAGCAGGAGCGUGUAUGCCGGGACCCGAUAGACGGUGAACUAUGCCUGAGCAGGACGAAGCCAGAGGAAACUCUGGUGGAGGUCCGCAGCGGUUCUGACGUGCAAAUCGAUCGUCGGACUUGGGCAUAGGGGCGAAAGACUAAUCGAACCGUCUAGUAGCUGGUUCCCGCCGAAGUUUCCCUCAGGAUAGCAGAGACGCGCGCUACUAGUAUUAUGCGGUAAAGCGAAUGAUUAGAGGCCUUGGGGACGAAAUGUCCUUAACCUAUUCUCAAACUUGGAAUGCGUAAGCGCGUUUGGCCUACUUAUGUGAGGCCAAACAUCAGUGCAUAUAGAAGCGUCUUUAGUGGGCCAUUUUUGGUAAGCAGAACUGGCGAUGUGGGAUGAACCAAACGCGAGGUUAAGGUGCCGGAAUGCACGCUCAUGUCGAUCCCACAAAAGGCGUUGGUUCAUCUAGACAGCAGGACGGUGGCCAUGGAAGUCGGAAUCCGCUAAGGAGUGUGUAACAACUCACCUGCCGAAUGAACUAGCCCUGAAAAUGGAUGGCGCUCAAGCGUGCUACCCAUACCUCGCCGCUCAUGCACGUUAUGUGUGAGCGAGUAGGCGGGCGUGGGGAGCCGUGGCGAAGCAUAA